CCAGCUCGUGCCGUGAGGUGUCUGGUUAAGUCCAGGAACGAGCGAGACCCUCACCCUUAGUUGCGACCGCGAAAGCGGGCACACUAAGGGGACCGCCACCGUUAAGGUGGAGGAAGGAGGGGGCAACGGCAGGUCAGCAUGCCCCGAAUCACCUGGGCCGCACGCGUAAGCAAUGGUGGAGACAAUGGGAUCCGAACCCGAAAGGGGGAGG
rnacentral:rRNA from 1 species